UACAAGAUCCUACUGCUGCUGAUCUCAGCAU
rnacentral:piRNA from 1 species